rnacentral:rRNA from 1 species
AGCUCCAAUAGCGUAUAUUAAAGUUGUUGCAGUUAAAAAGCUCGUAGUUGGAUUUCGGGAUGGGCCGGCCGGUCCGCCGCAAGGCGUGUUACUGACCGGGCUGUUCUUCUUCGCAAAGACUGCAUGUGCUCUUAACUGAGUGUGUGUAGGACUUGUGACGUUUACUUUGAAAAAAUUAGAGUGUUCAAAGCAGGCUUAGGCCGUUGGAUACAUUAGCAUGGAAUAAUGAGAUAGGGCCACCGCGGUCUAUUUUGUUGGUUUGCACGUUGUGGUAAUGAUUAACAGGAACGGUUGGGGGUAUUCGUAUUCAAUUGUCAGAGGUGAAAUUCUUGGAUUUGUGGAAGACGAACUACUGCGAAAGCAUUUACCAAGGAUGUUUUCAUUAAUCAAGAACGAAAGU